rnacentral:rRNA from 1 species
GGGUUUCGGCUUCCAAUAGUCCUUCAUUGGACAAUUCAUUUGACCUUGACCUC